rnacentral:rRNA from 1 species
AGGGAGUUUGAUCAUGGGCUCAGGACGAACGCUGGCGGCGUGCCUAAUACAUGCAAGUAGAACGCUGAAGGAGGAGCUUGCUUCUCUGGAUGAGUUGCGAACGGGUGAGUAACGCGUAGGUAACCUGCCUGGUAGCGGGGGAUAACUAUUGGAAACGAUAGCUAAUACCGCAUAAUAGUAGAUGUUGCAUGACAUUUGCUUAAAAGGUGCAAUUGCAUCACUACCAGAUGGACCUGCGUUGUAUUAGCUAGUUGGUGAGGCAACGGCUCACCAAGGCGACGAUACAUAGCCGACCUGAGAGGGUGAUCGGCCACACUGGGACUGAGACACGGCCCAGACUCCUACGGGAGGCAGCAGUAGGGAAUCUUCGGCAAUGGACGGAAGUCUGACCGAGCAACGCCGCGUGAGUGAAGAAGGUUUUCGGAUCGUAAAGCUCUGUUGUAAGAGAAGAACGAGUGUGAGAGUGGAAAGUUCACACUGUGACGGUAUCUUACCAGAAAGGGACGGCUAACUACGUGCCAGCAGCCGCGGUAAUACGUAGGUCCCGAGCGUUGUCCGGAUUUAUUGGGCGUAAAGCGAGCGCAGGCGGUUAGAUAAGUCUGAAGUUAAAGGCUGUGGCUUAACCAUAGUACGCUUUGGAAACUGUUUAACUUGAGUGCAAGAGGGGAGAGUGGAAUUCUAUGUGUAGCGGUGAAAUGCGUAGAUAUAUGGAGGAACACCGGUGGCGAAAGCGGCUCUCUGGCUUGUAACUGACGCUGAGGC